GAUGAAGAACGUAGCGAAAUGCGAUACUUGGUGUGAAUUGCAGAAUCCCGUGAACCAUCGAGUCUUUGAACGCAAGUUGCGCCCGAAGCCACUAGGCCGAGGGCACGCCUGCCUGGGCGUCACACGCCGUUGCCCCCCCAUCUACUCCUUCGGGAUUGCGGGGGGGCGGAUGAUGGCCUCCCGUGCGCCUAGCCGCGCGGUUGGCAUAAAUACCAAGUCCUCGGCGACGCACGCCACGACAAUCGGUGGUUGCGAAACCUCGGUUGCCCGUCGUGUGCGUUCGUCGCGCAUCGAGGGCUCGAAAAAAUGCUCGGCUCCGGCCGGGCUUUCAACGCGACCCCAGGUCAGGCGGGGUUACCCGCUGAAUUUAAGCAUAUCAAUAAGCGGAGGA
rnacentral:misc_RNA from 1 species